rnacentral:tRNA from 1 species
GGCUCGUUGGUCUAGGGGUAUGAUUCCUGCUUCGGGUGCAGGAGGUCCCGGGUUCAAAUCCCGGACGAGCUC